UUGAUGUAUAAAAGGAGAGAAUUUUAAAACUCCCCUUGAUAAUGUUGGAAGAGGUCCUUGUGGCCUUAGAAUACAUAUAUGAUUAGGACACUGUCAAAAAAAAAAAAAGAAGUAAAAGACAGGCAUUUGAGUUU